rnacentral:rRNA from 1 species
CCUACGGGGGGCAGCAGUGAGGAAUAUUGGUCAAUGGGCGGAAGCCUGAACCAGCCAAGUAGCGUGCAGGAUGACGACCCUACGGGUUGUAAACUGCUUUUAUACGGGAAUAACGCGCCUUACGUGUAGGGCUUUGCAUGUACCGUAUGAAUAAGGACCGGCUAAUUCCGUGCCAGCAGCCGCGGUAAUACGGAGGGUCCGGGCGUUAUCCGGAUUUAUUGGGUUUAAAGGGAGCGUAGGCGGGAUGUCAAGGUUGCUGUGAAAUGUCCGGGCUCAACCCGGGCCUUGCAGCGCAUACUGGCGUGCGUGAGUACGGGGGAGGCAGGCGGAAUUCGUGGUGUAGCGGUGAAAUGCUUAGAUAUGACGAAGAACCCCGAUUGCGAAGGCAGCUUGCUGCAGCGGAACUGACGCUGAUGCUCGAAAGCGUGGGUAUCGAACAGGAUUAGAUACCCUGGUAGUC